rnacentral:lncRNA from 1 species
GACAUCCCAUUGUUCCCCCGAUCAAUCCUCACAUCCCUUCAGUCCAAUCACUUUAGUAUUACAAAUCAUUUUUCUUUUUUCCAAAAUUAAUUCCUAGUUUCACAUUUUAAAAAUCAAUAAUUCAACUGUCUUUUUACAAUGUCCACUGUCCGGUUAAGGUUUUGGCCUUUUUUGUGUGUUUGUAUGUUUCUGGGUUUACAUAUAUUAUUACAGAGGGAUAGAAUGUGAUUUUGAUAUAUUGAAUGGAUUUGAUUGAAUCAUAAAUGAAGAACAGAGGAGAUGAAAAAUCCAACAUACACUAACCACCAUUCCCAGAUCUCUGGGUUCGCAGAAUUUCAGGCUAAGUGUAUAUUUUCUUUCCCGAGGAAUUCCCUCUUUUUGUUGUUUCCUUCCUCAAUUACAAAUGGUUUGAGUCAAGUUUCAUAAAAGACUUUAUCAUUUGUGUAUUUGGGUUUUGAAGUUAUACCACCUGAUUUUGUAAAGUUCUGCGAUUUUUUGAAAACUAAAGUUAUAAAGAGCGUUCCAGUUAUAGUAGUGUUGGCUUUACUUUAUGGAUGCUGAUUCUGGGGCUUGUUUUUUGCUGUUGGAUGUUGUUUGGAUAAGGCUAUAUAAAGGUGUUGUAUUCAUGUGAGAAUGACUUAUGUUAUUGUUGGUUUUGGUAAAAGGUAAUGUUUGUGGAAAGAAGGUAAAUUACUGAACAAAGAAUGGAAAAUUUUGGCACUAUUUUUCUGGAGUGUGGCAUUAAUGAUUUUGACAUUUUUGGAGGGCCCUUCUGCAAGACUGCAACUCUUUCUCCUUCUGGAGUAAACUAUGAAGGUUAGUUUUUAUUUGAAUUUUCACUUUAUUUUUCUCUAUUUUCCUUUGAAUUUUGUUCAGAUAACACCUAAUUGCCAUUGACUUUGUUCAUUGACAACCACGGAUGUGUCUUAUGAGCCCUUCAUAUGCUGAUUAUGUAGUAUUUGUUGUAGUUAAUUUGAAGUCCAGCACCUACUAGGCUACCACUUCAUAGGGUUCUUCCGCCCUCUGUUUUCCCCCCAUGGCUUUAAUCUUUUCAAAAUUAGGAUGAAUUGUAUUAUUUUCUUCUUUUCUUGAUAAAUUCAUGCCAACGUGAAUAUCUGGGUCAGCAACAGUAUAAUUUUGAGUUUCAUUUAUACUCAAGACUAUGAAAAUUACUUUGUAAAGUAUAAUGUGCCUGAAAAUUCACGAUUUUAUUAACUUUAUUUCAUUGCACAUGCUUGCUGGAAAGACGAUAGAAGGGAUAAGGAAGAGAAAUAAUUUUGUUGUGUAUUUAUAUUAAUAAACAUAUUUGUGUUUUUGCAUUUUGAUGCAGUUGUGGCUUUGAUUGCCAUAAAAAAAGAUCUAAUUGGCCCAUAAAAUGUUUUGGAAAAUUGGAAUAUUACUUCUGUAGAUCCUUGUAGUUGGAGGAGGAUGGUCACCUGCUCUCCUGAUGGCUACGUUUCUGCUCUGUUAGUUGCUUUAAUUCCUUCUACAUGUUGGUUCCUUUUUACUCUGUUCCUUUUACUUUUACUUGGUGCAAGUGGGGGCAAAUGGGUAAUGAUUGUCUAUUUAUUAUUUUUAUGUUGUCCGCUAGAAAUCUAACAGAUGCUGUGAUGCAUUUUUUAAUCAGAACCUUUUAUUUUUGUAAUAUAAAGUAGAGAUGUUAUUUGUCUAUUUUUAAUCUAUAGCAAAUAAAUACUAUGAAUCAUAAUAAUUCAUAACAUCUAUUUGUUAUGGAUCUAAAAAUAGCAUAUAAAUUUUGCACAUUUUAUUUCCAAAAAAAAGCCCAGAAUAAAAUUAAAAAAAUACCGUCCGCUAGAAGUACCGGCGGACGUAAUUAAUAAAAAAAAUUGUCCCAUUAUGCCCCAUACAAAGACCCACAUAACUAUGCCAAGGUAAUUAUUACCUGGUAUGGCAAAAAGUAUUAGCGGAUGCAACGAAGUAACACAGCAACAACAACAUUAAUCAAAUCACAACAAUACAAAUACAGUGACACAGGCAAAUCAAAUCAGCAAUACGGUGACACAGCCAAAUCAAAUCACUUGCACAACACAGCCAAAUCAAAUCACUUUAUGAUCAGCCAAAUCACAACAGCCAAAUCGAGACACUUGCACAACACAACAACAUAAAUCAAAUAAAAAGUCUAGGCAAACAGAAAAAUGGGACAGAAAUAUUGAAUAAAAAUAUAUUUAAUUUUUAUCUAUUUAUAUUUUGACGAAUAGAAAUAAAAAUACAAGAAACAUGAAAUUUCAAAUUCUCAACUAUCCAUAACACAACAACCACCGUAAAUACAAAUUCCAAAUCCGAAACAUCCUAAUUAAUUUUAGUAAUAUGCAAAUAGAAAAUCAAACAUUCCAAAUAAAAUAAAUUCAAUUUCAAAUCAAAUACAACAAAACCUAUUCCAAAUCAAAUACAAAAAAUUAAUUUAAAUCAAAUACAACAAAUUAAUUCCAAAUAAAAUACAUCCUGCACAUAAUUCUAGUUUCUAUUCUAAGUUAAAAACAUCAUAUUCCAAGUAAACAUAAGAAAAUUAAUUUAAGUAUAGAACAAAUUAUAUUAUACAAUCCUACUAUAUUAGGAGAUAGGUGAUGUAUCAUACUUAAUAAAUUGAGAGGAGAAACUCUGAGAAUCAAAGAAAGAAAGGAGGAACAAGAUUAUCCAAGUUAUCUAACUAAUCAGAAUGUAAUAAUCUAGCGCUAACUCUAGUUAUGUUCUCUUGAGUUUUCAUCAAAAAGAUGAUUUUUGGUGAUUAAAUUACUGAGGAAUAUGUAAUAUGUGUUUUUGAGUGUAUAUAAUUCGUUGUAUGUUGUUUAGAAUCGAGUUUUGAGUAAUUAAAUUCAUGGAAACAUGUUUAAGAAGGAAGAAUUUGAGUUUUGUUGUAUAUAUAAGUUUUAGUCUAUUUUGAGACUAAAAUUGGCUAUGAAUUUUUGUAUAGAGUCUGAAAUUGAUGAUAGUUUGUAUUAAAACAUUGAGAAACGAAAAGAACGCAAGUUGAAUGAAUUAAUUUGGUUAAGAAACGAAUUCUUAGUGAAUGAAUUCGCUAAACAUGUUAAAACAUGAAAAUAAAAUAUGAACAUGAGUUUUGGGUCAAGGUUUGGGUUAGUUAAUAUUUUUAUAGAUUACUGAUUCUUAGGUAUGUUGUAAUUCUAUGAAUUAUGAAUCCAGAAAAUGGACUAAUUUGGAUGUGUAAAACUCAAGUUAUGAAGAUUAGAAGGAGAAAAGGUUAAAAAAUCGCAAGAACAGUAAACUGCAAGUUCUGGUUCUGCUAACGGGCACAUCUGCGUUGUGCCCUAAGUCUAUUGGGGCACAACUGCCCUCUUGGGCGUAUUUGCACUGUUUCCAAGGCUUAAUUAGGCGCAACUGUGCUCUAGGUGUGUCAGGUGUGACUGUUUUGACCUUCUGUAGUAAAACGACCAUAACCUUUUUAUACGAACUCCGAUUGAUGCAAUUCAAGAUGAUCUGGAACGAGAAAGAAUAGAAAUAAAAACUUUUGUUCUUUAAGUUUUUCGAUUAGAGGUCGGGAACAGGGGUCAAAAUGGCUAUUUUUGGGACUAAUGUGUAUUCGGAGGCAAUCGAAGGGCGUCGGGCACGCACGUAUGCAAGUGUAGUGCUUCUGACGAUAAAAGAUGUUGUUCUAAGUUAUAAAAUAUGAAUAUUAGUAAAUAUAAUGAUACUUAAUAUUAAUAAAUGAUGUAUUAGAUAAGUUUUAUAAGCAUACUAAGCAUACACAAGAGAGACGAAUCGGGCGUGUGACGAAUGAACGUUGAAACGCCAUGACAAUUGUUAAUGAACAUAAAAAGUUUCAAUUAAAAUGAAGUGAGUAUUGUAAGAUAUGAAAUGAGGUUAAUAUAAAACCAAUAAGGAGUCCUAUAAAUACUUAAACACUUGAAUGAACUUCGAGUAUAACUAAGAAGUAUAGUGGGAUAUAAGUCGAAAGUUAACACAAUCAAAUUGAACAUUAUGUAUUGAUUAUUAGGAAGGGUUAUGAGAUGUAGAGUAAAGUUUAUAUUACAACUACUAUGCAUUGCUAUGUGACUAAUAAUUGAUGUGCAUGAUUAUUUAAUUGUGUAGGGCACUUGAAGUGCAGAUAGCUGUAAGUUGUUAAAUUGUUAUUGGUGAACAACGAUCAAGGCAAGUCUUUUAGUUCCUAUUUGCUAUGUGAACUUGAUGAUAAACUGUUUUAAAUCUUUACUGCAAAAAGCAUGAUGUGUUAUAUAUAUUUUGAAAAUAUGAAACGUUAAAGUCAAUUUAUGACUACGUUGAUUGAGUAAUGAAUGCUGAUUGAGUAAGGAACUCAAUCUUUAUACUUGUUAUAUGAAUUGUAGCAUGUAUGUUAUGUUAAUCCAAUGUUUAUGAGAUGUAUGUUGAGCAUGUUAUUAUGUGCUACGUGAUGCAUGAAAACUGUUAGAUUUGUUGGGCUGUUGAGCUCAACCUUGCAAAUAACCACUUUUGCAGGUUAAGGAUUCAAGGUAACGCUAAGUGCUACUUGAAAGACACGAAAUAGAUGUAAUGUAUGAAGAUUUAUAUACUUUGGCUGAGUUGUUAUUAUUUGAACCAUGUUUAAUGUUCCGAAUGAUGUACUUGAUAAUGUAUGAUGUUUAAUAGAUGUAGAGUUAUAAAGUUUAAAUUUUGUCCAAUGUAUAAAGGGUAUUGAACCUAGAUGUAAGUUUUAUUAACUCUGAUAAAGUGAGUAAUAAACUAAGUAUGGUUCAAAGGUAGGUAAAGAUAAAGGUUUCG